GGUCAUAAUCCGAGAUAAGGUUUAUUUCUCCCGUUUGCCUCCCGUUUGCCUCCUAAAUGGGAGUGGCACUACGUCACAGGGUAACCGGAAUUGACCCUCAUAUGACUUGUCUCGCUUUAUAAACCGUCUCUGCCAACACCACCACCACCACUUUCUGUGCAUAAAGCUGAAAGUAAAGGCUGAGUUUUUCUUCCAUAUCUGUUUUCUCCGAAAUACCCUACCUUCGACUUAUGAGUGGUUAGUAAUAUAGGACUAUCAUUUAGGCUACUGCUUUUGUAAAGGAGGUGAGUCCACUACUAAUUUUUAUUUGCCAUACACAGUACAUUAUGCAACAGAAUGCUCACCACCUCGUGGUAAAUACUCGCUUUCAUUGACUGUAGUGUGAUAUAUUGUAAUGUUUUUUUUAUUAAUUUUCAACAAUGUUAGGAAGCCCCACACAUGGCAGGGCAUCAAAAAAUUUGUUAAAACUCAUAAUGGUCCUCUCCACGGAAAUCUUUAGUAAAAGGCGAAAGAUUUAUACGAUCUGAAGAGAACCCAGAGUGUACUGACCUUUGAACCUUUCUGUUCCAGUAUUAUAGAACGGAGCCUACAAUUCACAGUCAGGGUUGCAAAAUGAUAUAAAUUAAAUAUCAUAGAACGGAGCCUACAAUUCGCAGUCAGGGUUGCAAAAUUAUAUAAAUUAAUUGGGAGAAAUCUGCGGUGCAUGCUGGGAAAUCUCUACCCUCCCCCUACCCCCCAUCCCAACACCACCACGACCACUUUCUGUGCGUAGCGCUGAAAGUGAAGGCUGAGUUUAUCUUCCAUAUCUGUGGGGUGAGUCCACUACUAAUUUACUUUUGGCAUAUAUGUGUUUACAAAACACAUAGCAUUGAAUUAACUAAUUGAAGAUCAAUUAAUGUCAUUAAUGCAAUCGUUUAAAACAUUAGACCUGACUGUUAUGAAUUUGGUGUAUAGUUGUAACAAGCCGCUUAUAAACUUGGACAAGGAACAGUGAUAAGGAUAAAAGCUCCAAAUCAACUUGAUACAAGUUGUAAAGUAAAGUAAA